AUGGCUUCCAUCAAUGUUUUGUUAUUCAUGAUACCACUUCUUCUACUUAUAACAUUUUCAUCAAUGACAAAUGUUGAAGGAAAACGAAACCUUUUAAAAAUACAUCAAGUUUCCAAAGUUGAUUUGCCACCACUACCGGUGGUACCUAAUCUACCAAUACCUACUCUACCAACAGUACCUACUAUACCUACAUUACCAACAGAACCACAAUUGCCAGCAAUUCCAAACUUAGGUGUCCCAAUCCCUAGUGUUCCCAAGAUUCCUGAAAUUCCUCAGAUUCCUAAGCCACAGUUGCCUACUGUUCCAGGGUUCAAACUUUGA